rnacentral:lncRNA from 1 species
UACAAGAUGAUUGAAUGCAAUCUGUGUGAGUCUGACAAUACUUUUAGGCAAUGCAAGGGAGCUUGGAAUCUACUUGGAACUACCUUAGCAAAGAAAACUUUUGAUAAAGUCCACUUCACGAGAUUGACAUCCCCUUACAACCUUAUGAAAGUUUUAUUAUACAUGCAGAAUAAAACCGUUUUAAACUGGGCAGUCAGUGGUAUAAGAAUCGGAAGGAUAUAUUUUGUUUUGGAAAACGUUCGUAUUGAGAGGAGAAAAUCUAAAAUGACAAAAAAGUUUGAAGAUGGGCUUUUCUGAAAUUACUUUAAACGAGCCCUGACCCCUCUCACAAUCCAUAGCCUUUCAGUGGUAAUUCAAAAUAAAUUUUUCUCCCUGUGGCACAAUUACGUGGAGUCUUAGAGUAGUGUGAUUUCUUCGACACGCCAUAUUGGUUACAUCCGUUCAUCAUGUAAUGUGAAUGGUUUGUUGAAUAUCUUUUCUAUCAAAACGAUCUAAAAAUACAUAUCGUGUCAUUUCACUGUUAAUCUUCCUGAAAUUGGCAAUAAUUUCGUAUAUUGUGCAUUUUCUAGGUGUUUUUUUGGAUUUAGGUAACUUUUUCGGCGGAUGAUUCCAGUAUAAACCUAUUGAUGCCGACAUUUUCGGCGUGGUGGGGUUCUCAUGUAAUAGUUUUAAAAAAUGUUGAUAAAGAUAAACAUCAGAGAGAAAAAAGAAACAGGAUCUCCUUUUUUGGGGCGGUUUUUUUAUUUGUUCUGAUGCGGGAGACGUGGAACCAAAAUGAUACGUACAGAGUCAGCAUAGUCUGACUAUAUUAGUGGCUAGGUUUGAGGUACAGCCGGUGCUCUUGUAACCCUAAUAGAACCCUUAACAUUGGAAGAGAAGAAAAGCAUGGGGAAAAAGCCCUUAAAUUUGCCAGAAAAUUAUAUAUCAAAUUGUUCAAUACGCCCGAGAUUUUUUUUCUAUGAAAUUUUUUUUCAGUUGUUACUUUGAAAACCUUGCUCCAGCUGCAGCAAAAUGUACCGUGAACCAAUGAAAUGACGCACGUGAUUAGUGCCAGUACAGGCUUAAAUGGUGUAAGUUUUGCCGAUUAUAUCUCCUAAACAAGCAAGCCCUCCUGUCUCCAAGUUUAAAUGGAAAGUUUUGAAGGAAACAGACUGCUCUAUGAUGGUAAGAAGUCGAAGGGAUGAAUUCACCGUCCAAAAUGAAAAACAUUACGUCUCUUCCAAUUGACCCAGCCAUACCUAGCAUUAAUGCUUUAUAAUUAACACAAUUUUCAGACAAACGUACCCCCAGCUUGCAUAUUUGUUUCUCUAUGGCACAGUCCAAAUGAUUAAGUUUCAAGAUGGCAUAAUUGCUAACCACUUAAGACCGAUAUAGGGUGAAAGAGAUGUUAACCUUAUGUCCACGCCGCGGUUGCGUAAUUUUUCUUACUCUCCGCUUGUUUCACCAUGAUCUUACUCGUACCACUGCUGUCUUACAUUCGCCAGAAAAGGUGCUCCUGAUUCGCAUCAAAUUUUCUUUUCAAAUACAAUUAAAAUAGUAUCAUUCUU